AGAACGAACGCUGGCGGCAUGCCUAACACAUGCAAGUCGAACGCUCCUGGGGCUUCGGUCUCAGGGGAGUGGCGCACGGGUGAGUAGCGCGUGGGAACCUGCCCUGUUGUGGGGGAUAACCGAGGGAAACUUCGGCUAAUACCGCAUAAGCCGGUUGUCUUGAAAGAGAUGGCCGGGAAAGAUUUAUCGCGACAGGAGGGGCCCGCGUCGGAUUAGCUAGUUGGUGGGGUAACGGCCCACCAAGGCAGUGAUCCGUAGCUGGUCUGAGAGGAUGAUCAGCCACACUGGGACUGAGACACGGCCCAGACUCCUACGGGAGGCAGCAGUGGGGAAUAUUGGACAAUGGGCGCAAGCCUGAUCCAGCAAUGCCGCGUGAGUGAUGAAGGCCUUAGGGUGUAAAGCUCUUUCGCCGCGACGAUGAUGACGGUAGCGGGAGAAGAAGCCCGGCUAACUUCGUGCCAGCAGCCGC
rnacentral:rRNA from 1 species